CACAUGCAAGUCGAACGGAAAGGCCUGGUGCUUGCACUGGGUACUCGAGUGGCGAACGGGUGAGUAACACGUGGGUGAUCUGCCCUCAACUUUGGGAUAAGCCUGGGAAACUGGGUCUAAUACCGGAUAGGAACAAUCUUUAGUGUGGUUGUUGGAAAGCUUUUGCGGUUGGGGAUGAGCUCGCGGCCUAUCAGCUUGUUGGUGGGGUAAUGGCCUACCAAGGCGUCGACGGGUAGCCGGCCUGAGAGGGUGUACGGCCACAUUGGGACUGAGAUACGGCCCAGACUCCUACGGGAGGCAGCAGUGGGGAAUAUUGCACAAUGGGCGGAAGCCUGAUGCAGCGACGCCGCGUGGGGGAUGAAGGCCUUCGGGUUGUAAACUCCUUUCGACAGGGACGAAGCUUUUGUGACGGUACCUGUAUAAGAAGCACCGGCUAACUACGUGCCAGCAGCCGCGGUAAUACGUAGGGUGCGAGCGUUGUCCGGAAUUACUGGGCGUAAAGAGCUCGUAGGUGGUUUGUCGCGUCGUCUGUGAAAUUCCGGGGCUUAACUCCGGGCGUGCAGGCGAUAC
rnacentral:rRNA from 1 species